rnacentral:rRNA from 1 species
GUGGGGAAUCUUGCGCAAUGGGCGAAAGCCUGACGCAGCCAUGCCGCGUGAAUGAUGAAGGUCUUAGGAUUGUUAAAUUCUUUCACCGGGGACGAUAAUGACGGUACCCGGAGAAGAAGCCCCGGCUAACUUCGUGCCAGCAGCCGCGGUAAUACGAAGGGGGCUAGCGUUGCUCGGAAUUACUGGGCGUAAAGGGCGCGUAGGCGGACAGUUUAGUCAGAGGUGAAAGCCCAGGGCUCAACCUUGGAAUUGCCUUUGAUACUGGCUGUCUUGAGUACGGGAGAGGUGAGUGGAACUCCGAGUGUAGAGGUGAAAUUCGUAGAUAUUCGGAAGAACACCAGUGGCGAAGGCGACUCACUGGCCCGUUACUGACGCUGAGGCGCGAAAGCGUGGGGAGCAAACAGGAUUAGAAACCCUGGUAGUCC